UACGUAGGGUGCGAGCGUUGUCCGGAAUUAUUGGGCGUAAAGGGCUCGUAGGCGGUUUGUCGCGUCGGGAGUGAAAACACCGGGCUUAACUCGGUGCUUGCUUUCGAUACGGGCAGACUAGAGGUAUGCAGGGGAGAACGGAAUUCCUGGUGUAGCGGUGAAAUGCGCAGAUAUCAGGAGGAACACCGGUGGCGAAGGCGGGUCCCUGGGCCGUAACUGACGCUGAGGAGCGAAGGCAUGGGGAGCGAACAGG
rnacentral:rRNA from 1 species